AUCUCUCGUCUUUGGCACGUCUUGAUCAAUCCUGCAAUAACAGUAUCAGCAUCCUUUCAAGAUGCAAAGGCAGGAUGGAUUAGCAAAUCUAACGUUUGAGAAUUGAUGCUCCUAUGAGCUUGAGCUUUCUGUACCCCUUUUAUAAACAAGUCCAGAAGAGAUCAAUUGCUUAAACAGGCUGCAACUUGAUGAAGGCAACUAUGUACUUACAUUACCAUGGACAUGUUUUCCAAUAAGAUGUAAACAAUUGUUUGGGGUCCUAAGUUUUGGCCAUGCUAGUGUAAGAAUACUAAAACUUAAUUUAAGAAUAAUAAAUUAAAAUUAACAGGGAUGAAAAUAAACAGAAAAAAAAAUACUUCCGAAUGAUGAUGGGAACAACUUGAUUAGCUCCGGUAAAGACAUCAGCCUGGUCAUCAUAUUGGGUUUAUCUGUUUAGUCACCAUGUCUUGGAAUUUAUGGGUUUCAGUUGCUGACUCAACAGUCGCAGUUUCAUUUCACCACACUAACUUACAUGAAUCGGUGUCACUGCGAUUCAACAAGGAUGUUUGUUGCAGCAUUUAUGUCAUUUCUCGCCUGCACAAGUGCCUGUCUGGCUGAGUUCCUGUCAAAACCCAUGGAAACCAAUGUGGCAAUAGAGUCCUCUGGGGGCUCCACAGGAGGAACUAUGGGAGUAGGGUAGUUUCUUUCCACUUGGCGACCUGUGUAGGAUGGCACACUUCCCGCAAUAUUCCUUGUCGUUGCUCCACGAGGACUCCCCAUAGAUGGCCAAGAAAGCCGUGAGAAGAAUGAAGUUAUGAACUCUGGAAACUUGGCUUUCCGGAUGUGAAAGAUAUUAAGACGAUACAAUGAUCCGGCAAAGAUGCCACACAUCCCUGGCAAGACAGAUCUUUUCCAGGAUGAUAAAAGAAGCUGAAGACCAGCCAGAUAUAUGAAAGACUUAUCAGAGAAGUGAACACCAAAGACACGAAACCGUGUUGAUACAGGAAUGUCAAAGAAAAAGGGUACAAAUGAAGCAAAUAUAACACCGUAAGGUCCAGUUGUGACUAAGUUUGGUGUGGGAUCUCUAAGGAAUCCUAGAGCAAGGACCUCAAACAGUAAUGAAACUAUUAUAGAGAACAAAAUGAAGACCGAGUAUUUAUUGGAACCUAUCUGUCUUUCAAAGACCCUGAAGUAAUAUAGAAGAUAAAGUCCAAACAGAAGUUCUGGUGUAGAUGAAAAGGAAAAAACUGACACAAUAAGCUUCCAUAAACGUGGUUUCAAGAAAAUAUCCUGAUACGACAAUCCAAGCUUGGCAAAGCCGCCUUGGAUCCCAAAGAAAAGGGUGAAAAGGGCACAAGCGAUAACGAAUGUUCUCGUCACUGGCGCAUUGUUGAAACCAGAGGGACCGCCGUUCAUCUUUCUCGUCUUCUCGGUGAAGGACUACCUAAGCUUUAGCUUGUUUCUUUUUCACCAAAUUCUAUC
rnacentral:misc_RNA from 1 species